rnacentral:lncRNA from 1 species
GGGUGAGAUGCCAUUUUGAGUCAUUUUGGUGCCAACCAUGAGCAGAUUUGGGGUUAAAGCACCAUUUUGAGCCAUUUUGGUGCCAACCAUGAGGAGAUACUCAUGUUCGAUGCCAUUUUGAGCCCUUUCGGUGCCAACCAUGAGCAGAUUUGGGGGGAAAACCCCAUUUUUGAUCUCUUUUGUUGCCAACCACGAGCAGAUAUUUGGGUUGGGUGCCAUUUUGAGCCCCUUCGGUGCCAACCAUGAGCAAAUAUUUGGGGAAAAACACCACUUCGACCCAUUUUGGUGCCAAUCAGGGGCGGAUUUUGGGGGGAAAUCACCAUUUUGAGCCCUUUUGGUGCCAACCAUGAGCAGAUUUGGGGGGAAAACCCCAUUUUUGAUCUCUUUUGUUGCCAACCACGAGUUGAUAUUUGGGUUUGAUGCCAUUUUGAGCCAUUUUGGUGCCAACCAUGAGUAGAUAUUUGGGUAGAAGACCAUUUUGAGCCAUUUUGAUGCCAACCACGAGUAGAUAUUUGGGUAGAAGACCAUUUUGAGCCAUUUUGGAGUCAACCACGAGUAGAUAUUGGGGUAGAAGACCAUUUUGAGCCAUUUUGGUGCCAACCGUGAGCAGAUUUGGGGGGAAAACACCAUUUUGAGCCAUUUUGGUACCAACCUUGAGUAGAUAUUUGGGUAGUCAACCAUUUUGAGCCAUUUUGAUGCCAACCAUGACCAAAUCUGGGUGGAAAACCCCAUUUUUGAUCUCUUU